rnacentral:rRNA from 1 species
CGCGUAGGCGGGUCGGCAAGUCAGAUGUGAAAUCCAUGGGCUCAACUCAUGAACUGCAUUUGAAACUGUCGGUCUUGAGUGUCGGAGAGGCAAGCGGAAUUCCGUGUGUAGCGGUGAAAUGCGUAGAUAUACGGAGGAACACCAGUGGCGAAGGCGGCUUGCUGGACGAUAACUGACGCUGAGGCGCGAAAGCGUGGGAGCAAACA